CUAGUAUAUUAUUAAUUUCUUUGUAAUAAAGUCGUAUGAAUUAUACCCAAUGUAAUGGUGUAGUAUAUUAUUAAUUUCUUUGUAAUAAAGUCGUAUGAAUUAUACCCAAUGUAAUGGUGUAGAGUGCUGUGAGACAAAAAAACCAUUAGAGGGAGAUUCUGGAUUAGCAUGCUCAUUGAGAGAUGGUCAUGUGGAGGCACGGCUUCAGAAACAACUCGAAGUCCUUCGCUCAAGAGCAUCUUGAUCCAAUUCUCAAUGUAUCCGAGUGUUCA
rnacentral:lncRNA from 1 species